rnacentral:rRNA from 1 species
UACGUAGGGGGCUAGCGUUGUCCGGAAUCAUUGGGCGUAAAGCGCGUGUAGGCGGUCCGGUAAGUCCGCUGUGAAAGUCGGGGGCUCAACCCUCGGAUGCCGGUGGAUACUGUCGGGCUUGAGUACGGAAGAGGCGAGUGGAAUUCCUGGUGUAGCGGUGAAAUGCGUAGAUAUCGGGAGGAACACCAGUGGCGCAAGCGGCGAACUGGCCGAGACCUGACGCUGAGACGCGACGGCGUGGGGAGCAAACCGG